rnacentral:RNase_P_RNA from 1 species
UAAGCAGAUCACCUUAUCGCGGCCUUAGGGUCGAGGAAAGUCCGGACACCAUAGCACAGUAUAGCGGGUAACGCCCGUCCGUCGUAAGGCGAGGACAAGUGCAACAGAAAGUAUGUACAGGUUAUGCUGUAGUGAAAUCAGGUAAACUCUAUACGGUGCAACGCCAUGUAAACCAGCUUUUUAGGGUUGUGCGCCCAAUGUUGGAGGGUAGGCGGUUUGAUCUCAAUAGUAAUAUUGAGACUAGAUAAAUGAUAAGGAUCCACAUUGUUGGAAACAGAAUCCGGCUUAUGAUCUGCUUUUUUU